rnacentral:tRNA from 1 species
GGGGCUGUAGCUCAGUGGCAGAGCGCUUGCAUAGCACAUGUGAGGCGCUGGGUUCCAUCCUCAGCAAUCCCA